rnacentral:rRNA from 1 species
UGGGGAUAUUGGACAAUGGGGGGAAACCCUGAUCCAGCGACGCCGCGUGAGGGAAGAAGGUUUUCGGAUUGUAAACCUCUGUUGACAGGGAAGAUAAUGACGGUACCUGUUUAGAAAGCCACGGCUAACUACGUGCCAGCAGCCGCGGUAAUACGUAGGUGGCAAGCGUUGUCCGGAAUUACUGGGUGUAAAGGGAGUGUAGGCGGGACGGCAAGUCAGAAGUGAAAAUUAUGGGCUCAACUCAUAACCUGCUUUUGAAACUACUGUUCUUGAGUGAAGUAGAGGCAAGCGGAAUUCCUAGUGUAGCGGUGAAAUGCGUAGAUAUUAGGAGGAACACCAGUGGCGAAGGCGGCUUGCUGGGCUUUUACUGACGCUGAGGCUCGAAAGCGUGGGGAGCAAACAGGAUUAGAUACCCUGGUAGU